rnacentral:rRNA from 1 species
GUGGGGAAUCUUAGACAAUGGGGGAAACCCUGAUCUAGCCAUGCCGCGUGAGUGAUGAAGGCCUUAGGGUUGUAAAGCUCUUUCAGCUGGGAAGAUAAUGACGGUACCAGCAGAAGAAGCCCCGGCUAACUCCGUGCCAGCAGCCGCGGUAAUACGGAGGGGGCUAGCGUUGUUCGGAAUUACUGGGCGUAAAGCGCGCGUAGGCGGACCAGAAAGUUGGAGGUGAAAUCCCAGGGCUCAACCUUGGAACUGCCUUCAAAACUCCUGGUCUGGAGUUCGAGAGAGGUGAGUGGAAUUCCGAGUGUAGAGGUGAAAUUCGUAGAUAUUCGGAGGAACACCAGUGGCGAAGGCGGCUCACUGGCUCGAUACUGACGCUGAGGUGCGAAAGCGUGGGGAGCAAACAGGAUUAGAAACCCGGGUAGUCC